AAUCAACGCUGGCGGCGUGCCUCAGACAUGCAAGUCGAACGCGAAAGUUUCCUUCGGGAGACAAGUAGAGUGGCGCACGGGUGAGUAACACGUAGGCAAUCUACCUUUGGAUGGGGGAAUAACAACCGGAAACGGUUGCUAAUACCGCAUAAUGCAGCGGCACCUAAUGGUGACAGUUGUUAAAGCGGGGGAUCGAAAGACCUCGCGUCUAAAGAGGAGCCUGCGGCGGAUUAGCAGUUGGUAAGGUAAUGGCUUACCAAGGCUACGAUCCGUAACCGGCCUGAGAGGGGCGGUCGGUCACACUGGGACUGAGACACGGCCCAGACUCCUACGGGAGGCAGCAGUCGGGAAUUUUGCGCAAUGGACGAAAGUCUGACGCAGCAACGCCGCGUGAGGGAUGACGG
rnacentral:rRNA from 1 species